rnacentral:misc_RNA from 1 species
GAUGAAGAACGUAGCGAAAUGCGAUACUUGGUGUGAAUUGCAGAAUCCCGUGAACCAUCGAGUCUUUGAACGCAAGUUGCGCCCGAAGCCAUCAGGUUGAGGGCACGUCUGCCUGGGCGUCACAUAUCGUUGCCCAAUGCCUAUUGCAGUGCAAUAGGAAUUUCUAGGGCGAAUGAUGGCUUCCCGUGAGCGUUGUUGCCUCGCGGUUGGUUGAAAAUCGAGUCCUUGGUAGGGUGUGCCAUGGUAGAUGGUGGUCGAGUUAGAACGAUACCGAUCAUGUGCAUGCUCCCCAAAAUAUGGCCUCUAUGACCCACACGCGUCUUUUGACGCUCAUGACGAGACAUCAGGUCAGGCGGGGCUACCCGCUGAAUUUAAGCAUAUCAAUAAGCGGAGGA